UAAGAGGGUCUUCCCAUCAUAUUAUAUCCUUCACGAUGUAUUUUUUGUUCGUUGCUUUAUUUAUUUAUAAAAACAGGACAAGAGCUUAAAAAAGUUUCGUUUUGCCCGCGAUGCUUUGAGCAUUUUUUUCAUGAAACAGAAAGCUUCAAUGACGAUGGCCGGGCCGAGUGAUAACUCAGCAAGUCACACGUCCUUGUCUCUUCUCCGGACCUGUCCAUUUG
rnacentral:lncRNA from 1 species